ensembl:lncRNA
UUUUGAGUUAAUUUUUAUGUCCUGAGUCAUAUGUCCGGGCCACAAUGCAGACUGAGUAGGAGAGGAUUUAGAACCAGAACAUAGAGUGCACACAGGUCGCCAUAGACACAGAUGCGCAUCACACUUGGAGAAGUGACUUACCCUAUAACCUUGACUAUUCUCACCUGUAAAACAUGGAGUAUGAUUGUGUGUUAAUACUUUCAAUCUCAAAGGACUGUGACGACUGAAUGCUGCUUGCUCUGCCUGUGACAGCUUUCCCCAGCUUCCACCUCUCCAGUCAAAAGUUUUAAAGAAGGAAGACUACCUCCAAAGAACAAGGAAUGCAGUACCAGUGCCCGUUUUUAUGAGUGAAUCUCAAGUGGAAGGUGACAGACAGCAGAACAAACACUAUAAAGCAUAGUGGCUAAGAAGACAAGCUUUGGAAUCCAGCAGGGCAGCAUUCAAAUUCGGCUUCUCUCAUUUAUUGGCCUCCUCCCUGGGAUAACACACCGUGGUAAGAUCCAUGAGAAGCAUGCCUUUCUGCUGCAAAACAGGAGAAAAAUGGCUGUGAGAGGAGAGGUAGAAAUCCACGGCUAGUAGAUAGACUCUUAGUCCCGUCACUUUUGGAGAAGUCCACCUAUGGAAUUGAGAUCUUGAAAUUGCUAUCCUUGCCCCAGCUAACAUCUGGAAAGCCUUCCUUUUCUUUAAUUUGAAGAUUACGACUUAAAUCUUCCACCUUGUUUUUUCCACCAUCUCUGUUAAAAUUUUGAUGUGAUCGUGUAAAAUCACUGAGUUGCAAAACGUUUGGAGACAGGAUAUGUUGUCCAGAUAUUUUUAAUUAAAGAGCUGGAAGUGAAUUCUGAAAACUACAUUUGUAUGUCUGAAUUCAAUAACUCACAAAUUUUUUUUAAUUUAAAAAACUUUUUUUUUAGAGAUUGGCACCUAAGCUAACAACUGUUGCCAAUCUUCUUUUCUUCUCCUUCUUCUCCCCAAAGCCUCCCAGUACCUAGUUGGAUAUUCUAAUUGCGAGUGCCUCUGGUUGUGCUAUGAGGGAUGCUGCCUUAGCAUGGCUUGACAAGUCAUGCCAUGUCCGCGCCCAGGAUCCAAACUGGCGAAACCCUCUGCCGGUGAAGAGGAGUGCGUGAACUUAACCACCUGGCCACGGGGUUGGCCCACUCACAGAAAAUUUGACCAAAUUCUUAAAUAGUUGACUUAUGAGGCCCAGGGCACCAGUGAUAUUGAUUGCCUCAAUCACAUCGACUUGGCCUUAUCUCCGAUCCCAUUCAAGUCUUGGGUAAAUGGUACCAUGCAGACAUCCCAGGCCAAGAUUACUUUAAGCUGACAGGUCCUCAUGUCACAUACAUGUCAUCAUUUCAUUUUCAGCCCUGGGACGACUCCUCCGCAGUGGACACUUGCAGCAGCAAAAAUGCUUCAGAAACAUGGGGAAGUUAUUCAGGAGCAAUCUUCAACCAGUGAAAAGUAAGCUCUGACGGACAGGCAAAUACCAUUUCAAAGCAUUCUGUGGCUUUUUGGAAGGUCUCAGCUGAAACAAGCUCCUCAUGCUGGUGACCUGAAUAACUCUCCCUUAUAUGGGCUUUUUCUCCUUCCGCAUCUCACUCUCUAUUUUCCCCAACUCCUAUUCUCUGGGAUAAUAUAAUGAGUUAAUUUCACACAAGACCUUGUUGCAAGCUGUGCAUUCAGAGAAACACAAGCUAAGGUAUUACUAAUAGCAGUAAUCUUAGCAAGCAGACCCUCAGGAUUCCCGAACUGUUUCACUUACUCAAAAAACAGUAAGAAAGGUUCCUCUGCUAACGGGGAAUGAGAUGAUGAUAACGCCUGGCCCCUGACACUUUCGUUAAGAUACUCAUCUGUGGCAGAUUGGAAUAAAGUACAGUUACAGCAAGAAGUGCUUAGACUACGCACUUGAACAAUUUUGUAUUUGCCUUGCUUAGUCAACUACUUUGAAAACUUUGUUAAUUGCUUUGUUAACUUUUUUUAGAAGUCACCUGUAAAGAGAAAGGACAAGUUCAGUUCAAUCAAGUGUCAGCUCAGGAAUGCUGUGACAGCCAGAAUUUCUACAUGGCAGUGUUUAAAAAAGAUUCUUGUGUCAAGGGUCUGGGGUAGACUGGGACAUACCAGUUCACUGAUGGGUCUGAAGAUGGAUUGCUGUUGCUCUACAAACCUACUCAGAGAUAUUCUGAGUUAUAAGUGGUUUAUUGGGUUGUUUUAUUUUAUAUAGAGGAAGGAUCAGCCUGAGGCAAAAAUACACAUAAAUGCCUUGGUAGUGACAAAUGACUUGAAUGGUUCAUCAGAGGCCUUGGAGGAUCUGAUAAAAGGUAAUCAGAGAAGGGGAAUACAAAUAGACCAACAGAAGCUGGCAAAAGACAUACGUAUUUUUGUGUCUCAUGUUAAUGCCCAGCAGAGAUCAUUCACUGCACAAGAAGCACUCAACCAGCCAGGUGGACAGGAGGAUCUUUACUUUAAGGAAAGGAUCAUUACUUCCCAUCCUUCCCAUUGCUUGUGUGAUGAGCCCUUCAAAAGUGGAUCAGUUGUAGAAGAGAUGAAGUCUGUGCAUUGGUUCAGCAGCUUGAGUUCCUUCCAACUAAAGCUCAUCUCACUACUGAAGCUGCGGCUGAAUAUCCAAUUUGUCAUCAGAAAUAUAGAAAAGGAGGAGACUUUUUCAAGCUUACAAGUUACUGUUUCAAAAACAGAGGCACCGUUACUGUGACUUCUGGAAGAGAUUGCUUUUAUGUCAUGAUUUCAACUGAUGUGCCUUCAGAAAGCGUGUGACCUGGAUAAAUCAUGGUGAUGUGUGAGGUGCCACGGCUGAGAUGUGAUUCAUUUCCACAUAGACACAUUGUCUUCAACUUCUACAGUGAAGUUUAUUGAAAAACGCAUUUGUUAAAAAGAUCAACUUUCUUCUCUCAAUAAUUUUUUUCCCUUUGAUGUUAACAUUUAUAGCCCUUACCCUGGCUUUCUACUAGUAUUUCAAAUUAACAUUUGAAAUGACUUCCCUAUAGUGCAGAGCCCGGCACCAGGGAUGGGAACCUCCAUUCACCUUAGGGAGCCCAUGGUGAGCUCUUGAAUCCCAGCUCUACUUUCUUCUCCCAAGAGCUACGAAUUCCUGGCUUUGAAAACC